rnacentral:pre_miRNA from 1 species
GUAUUUAUAAAUUAUAAAAAAUCCAAACGACGUCCGAAAAUCACGAAACUUGUCGAUGUGUCUUGGUAUCCCAUGUGGAGACUAUGAUAAAAAUUUUAGGAAGUUUCGAGCAAGUAGUGAUGUCCGAUACUUAAAACCCAGACAUCUCCACUUGUCAAAGUUUUGUGAUCACAUGUGGAGGAGGAUGGCUUUUAAGCAUUCGAAGUCACUACAUGAAACUUCCUCAAAUUUUUAUCAUAGUCUCCACAUGGGAUACCAAGACACAUCGACAAGUUUCGUGAUUUUUGGACGUCGUUCGGAUUUUUUAUAAUUUAAAUAC